rnacentral:lncRNA from 1 species
AUGAAAGAAAAGUCAUUUUCAUGUGACAGAGCGACGAUGCAGUGGAGUCUGUUUCUGCUUCUUCUGAUGGGUCAGUGUGUCUUCAUCACAUGUCAGCUGUAUGAGUACCACUUUAUUCAAGAACAGAUGAGCUGGGAUGAAGCACGGGCAUACUGCAGAGAGAAAUACACAGACCUGGCCAAAGUGUUUGACCUGACAGACAUGAGAAGACUUCAAGAUUCUGCACAGAGUCAAACAGAAGCCUGGAUUGGACUGUACAGCGAGCCAGGAGGAGACAACAGGAGGUGGCACUGGUCUCUGCCGGGGGAGGAAUACACUGAAAAUAAGAGCUGUUGGAAAGAUGGAGAGCCAAAUGAUUAUGGUGCCACCCCUGAGAACUGUGUGAGGACAAGUGGGCAGAUUGUACAUGUACUAACAUGCAUCACUUCAUCUGCUAUGACGGUGAGAAUAUGUGGACAGAAAUAUGAUAUGAACAAUAUUUAAUAAUGUUAUAAUCUGUGUUAUAUAUAUAUAUGUUCUUGGUAAAUGGUGCAUGGUGAAGAUGUUUUUGUGUUUUUUUGAGUGUGCAGCGUUUAAAGCGUGGAAGUACUGACCUUACUUUGAGUUUGAUUCCAUAAAAAGUGACAAAAACAUUAGUGUCCGCUGUGCGUGGGAAGAAAACGUCUUUUUACAGCAACCCCCCCAAACUUCCAAGCAAGGACCGAGUGCGCUACGACGUAAUGAGAAACUCGCGGAUUCUUCCACUGACUGCUGCGACACACCUGCACCAGGGCAAACCUCUGCCUACCUCACUCCUGCUUUACAGGUGAAAAUAGAGCAACAGGACCGCUAGUCUUUGACUUUAUUCAUUUUCUGCUGUGUUUUACUUGCAUCUAUUUGAAAGAGUGAGUGUAAACACAAAAAAUAUUUUAUUUUAUGUGCUGGAAUGUGCAGAAAAUAGGUUUAAAUGUUCAAUAAAUUUCUUCCAGUCAGAGAAUGUUGCAUAUAAUUAAAGUUCUUGCUUGAUGCAUAAAGUUAAAAGAUUAAAACUGAUAAAAAGUGUUUCAAAAGAGACUUUUCCAUUUGAUUACAUUUUGUAUGAUGGAUUAUGCAGAAAAAGUAGAAUUGGGCUGAAAGAUCUAUCACUUUAUCACCUAUUUGGUUUGUAAAUUGUGUUUUUAAAAAGCAACUAAGUAACUAAGUAAUUCAUUACUUUUGAAAAUAAGUAAUCAGUAAUUAGCUACUGGUUAAUUUUUUCAAGUCACUUGACCAACACUGGUCAUAAAUAUGCUAUAUUAUUCACAGAUGAUUUUUCAGGGGCAGUGUCAGCUUACUUCCUAAAACAGAAAAGUGACACCACAGAGGCCACAGCAAAGUUUCUAGCUGACUGUGCACCAUAUGGCUGUGUUAAGUGCAUUAGAUCCAACAGUGGCACUGAGUUCACAAGCAGUUCCUUCCAGUCCCUUUUAAGGGAAAGGGGCAUAAAGCAUGAGGCAUGUGUGCCAUAUUCUCCUCAUCAGAAUGGCACAGCUGAGGCAAUGGGGAACUCUCUUUUAAAUGGGGAGGUGUCCUUUCCUAGAAAAAGGACUGCCGAGAGAAUUAUGGCCUUAUGCUACUGUAACAGGACUAAAAGUAGGGAUGGGUAUUGAUAAGAUUUUAACGAUUCCGAUUCCAUUUUCGAUUCUGUUUAACGAUUCGAUUCUUUAUCGAUUCUUUUGAAAAAGGAGAACACUAAGGUCGAUUAGCUUAGAACUUUGUUUUUAUCUUCUCUUUGAACAAGAUAGAAAUUUAGGAGUAACAUGGCCUUACAAACCCAACAGUGAGAUCUCAAGAGAACCAGCCUUCAAUGGGGUGUUAGAGGGUCCCCAGGAAAAAAAUGUAAAUGUAAAAUAAUAAAAUAAAUAUUCUUCUGUACUAUAACAUAAAUUAUUCUGAAGCAAUUACACAAGAAUAUCCAGUAAUGUCCCUGCCUACAAUUAAACCUUCACUAACCGAAAAUCGGGGGCAUCUGCUGUGACAAAUGGGUGCAAGAUUUUGACCACAAACUUAGUCACUGCUCGGUGACAUUCAUCCUGGCCUGAAAGGAGACGCUACCGGUAGACUGCAGCGAGAACUGCCAGCAGCUGAGCCAGCCAGACUCUGUCUGUCUCUCUCAUCAGGGUCACCUAAAUGCACAGUAAUGGCAGAUUUUGUAAUAAAGCAGAUCGCGCUAAUAUAAUAUGCACUGUUAGUUGAUCAUUUACCUGCCGCAUUAACGGGAGAGGACGCGCAAACAUUACCGCUGCUGCUGAGUUCAGAUUCACGAGUCCGGAGCGGAAUUAAAAACACGACAUUCAUUUGAGGUCAUCGUGUGUUUUGUGAGCAAAUGCUUUUGCAGAUUCGUAGUGUUUCCUCCCUUAAGUGAAAUAUCUACUUUGCAAGUAUUGCAAGUUGCCCUGUUGUCAUCCGUUCUCGUAAAGUAUAAACAAACUUCUGAGCGUUUGAGCCGCCAUGUUUCCUGCCAGGUAAAUGACGCUCCGCAAUGUGGUGACGUCAUUUGGGGCGACUGGAAUCGAUAAGGGAAUCGUUUGCAAAAACGGCAAACGAUUCCAAGGAAUUGAAACAGUGGGAACCGGUUCUCAACAAGAACCGGUUUUCGAUACCCAUCCUUAGCUGUCACUUCCAGGCACCACACCUAUACCGUCUGAGACUAGCCCAUCGGUGGUAUUCAGCAUCAUACCUGCAUGAGGGCUGUUGGUUUGUCUACUAAAGAAAGAUUCAGAUUGAAGACAUUAAAGGAGAACAGUGGACUGAUCUGCAUCCAAACAUAACACAAAAAGAGUUGCAAAAUCUGGAACAUUUAUGUUUUUCUGCAUGAAUAUUAUUUGAACCAUAGGCUGAUUUUUGUUGUUGUUUUUCUAAUAAGUCCUAAAGGUAGAUAACAAGAACCCAGUUUAAUCGAAUGAGCCUGACCGUGAAAGGAAGUUCACUAUCAGCUGGUCACCUUUUCAUUCCUCCGCAGCGACAUGUACAGUAAAUGUGCCUUCUGUCCAUCACAACAUGCACAUCCCAGCAGGCAAGCCAAAAUAACCCCUCCACAUUCACCAUUUAAAUGUGUUAGAAACUGCUGCAGAUUGUUUUCAGGUCAAGCACUCUCUUGAUUUCGCCAUGGUAACACUAUAUCAGAACUACAGUUUAUGCAAAUUUACCUUUUUUAGAUUAAAACAAAUUAGCUGACUUAAAAGUGUUCCUGAAUAAAUAGAACUCCACUUUUUACAGUCAAAAUAACAAACUUUACCCCCUAUUUGGGAUAAAGGGCAAAGGGUGAUUGACUUAUAUUAAACAUGAACUUUAUCUGAAAAAUGUUUCUCGUAAUUAUCAGACACUAAGAUUCCCCCCUCCUUUUUUUGUCUUUUCUUUUUUUAAAUAAAUGUGCUGCUGGAUUUGGAGACAGUGCAAAAACCGAAUACUUCAAACGGAACGAAAUGAAAUGUUUUUAAAUUUCUAAAUGUAAUCUGAUGCUAAGGGGGGAAAAAAAAGCAGCAAAUCCUGUUAAGAACCCAGAAUACCCCGGAGUUCUCCUGCUGUUUUCCGGCUGUCUGUGGUGCCACAGAAAUGUUGCAGCUUUAAUCGCCCCAAACCAAAAGAAUCUUAAAACGCGUGCGUGCGUGCGCACGCUUCUGCUCCUCCUCCUCUUCUUCCUCGAGUUGCCCCAGAAUAGAGACCACGAAUGUGUCUUCAGUCCCCUCAGCUUUGUUUUCACUCAGUCUUGGCGUUUUGUACCAAGGCAACUAACUAAAUGGCACUAACUCCAGGACUGUUGUAAUCCUGAUGUGUGAUGAUGCACUCAAGGCUCGUUGUCCUGCUGAAUCACUGCCAGAGGCUCCUCCGUCUCACACGCUUUCUCUCAGUGUCGCCGGUAACCUCGGCCGGUGUGUUGGUUCUGAUCCGCUGAUUAAUGAGUGUGUGCGUGCGCUUUAUUCAUGUUAACUAGCCUUCUCAACGGGAACUUGCCUACUAAAACAACUGUCUUUAUUGCUUUAUUAUUGUCUAUGUAGAUAUUUUAUUUAUUGUGUUUUUAAUAUCCUCGGCAUUCAUUGUGUUACAAUGUUUUCAUGCCUAAGCCAUUAAGAUUUUUAAUUAAACUGUAUUUUCUUUAACAUUUGAUCUGUGUGGUUUGUCGCUAAACAGAAGCAAAGAGAUUCUCUAUUAAUGUGUUUGAGCAUCAGGUUAUUUGCAUUUAUCAAACUUUAUGGGACACGUUAAUGAAACGAUCCUGCAAUAACAAUUUUAAGACUCGACACGGUACGCUGCAAGACUGUCAUCUGCAGUGCAUCACAUUUUGUAAAAGUAGUGGGUCUCCAAACAUUUACUGCUGCAUUAUUCUGCAUUCAUUAGGGGUUGUGUCUCUGGCUACAUGCUGAAAGUAAAGCCAACGUUCUCCACAAACUCCAGGAGGAGCUGCUAUUGCUCCUUUGUUCACUGCUAGAGAACUUGGUUUGUCUGCUUUUAUCAGACUCAAUUACUGAACGGUUCUGCCUGAAGCGAGGUUAAUGAGAGUGUACUCGACAAAUUAAAAGAUCAAAAGGGGUUCAGCAGAGUUGAAGGGGAC